rnacentral:lncRNA from 1 species
GACAAUGGGAUGACACAUGUAAAGUACCCAACACAGGGCCAUCAGAGAUUUCAAUGCACUGUCAAUCUACAAGAAGGGUAUAUGAUAUGCAGUUGUUUCACAAACACUGUAACAAAUGAUUUUGAAGAGGACAUCUUAGGAUACUCUGAGUUACUCCAACUUGGACAUUUCACAGAGUAUCUUUUGCAAGUGGGUCAGAGAGAUACGCCAUGAGAAGCACUCAACUUGCAAUUGUUGAUUCUGAAGAUGGAAGAAGGGGGCCACGAGCCAUGGAAUGCAGCAGCCUCUAGAAGAGGAUGGCCCUAGGCUGACAGGAGCAAGAUAACAGGGACUUUGGUCUUACAACUGCGUGGAAUUGAAUUCAGCCAACAAUUCAAAUAAACUUCCAGAAAGAAACACAGCCUGCUGAUACCUUGACUUUAAUCUGGUGAGACCCAUAGUGGACAUCUGAUAUACAAAAUUGUAAGAUGAUAAUUACGUUUUUUUAAGCCAUUAAAUUUGUGGUGAUUUGUUUCUACAGCAGCCUAGAAAACUAAUAUGCAUAUAGUAGUGUGUAUGUGUGUGUGUGUGUCUGGCUUAUUGUACUUAAUAUAAUAUUUGCAAGAUUCCUAUCUGCUAUUAUUGAUUUUCAUUGUUGUAUAUUAUCCUUUUGUUCAAAUAUGCCAUAAUUUAUUUACCUAUUCUAUUGUUGAUGGACAUUUGGUUAUUCCCAGGUUUAGGCUAUUACAAACAAUGCUGCCAUGCACAUCCCUGUAUAUAUUUUUGUUGAACACAUGUACUCAUUACUAUUGGGUAUAUACCUAGGGAUAGAUCAUAGGGUAUAUGUUUGGCUCUGAUAGAUACUGACAAAAAAUCUUCCAAUGUGGUGGUUUACUUCCCAUGAGCAAUGUUUGAGACUCUCUACAUGUUCACAAACACUUGGUAUGAACAGUCUUUAAUUUUAGCCAUUCUGGGAGUACCACCAUUUCAUGUGAAUUGACCGUUUUACAUAUCCUCUUUUAAGAAAUGCCUGUUCAAGUCUUUUGUCCAUUAAAAAAAAAUGUUUUUUUUUUCUCAAAGACUUGUAGCUGCUCUUUACAUAUUCUGAAGAUAAAUUUCUUUUCCAGAUGUCUGGAUUACAAAUAUCUUUUCCUGUGCUCUGUCUUGCCCCAUUCUCUUCAUGGUGUCUUUAGAUGAACAGAGGUUUGUAUUUUAAUGUAGUUCAUCAAUAUUUUCCUUUGUGAUUAGUAUGCUUUGUGCCUGUUUAAUACUUAAUCUUUGCCUAUCACACACUUAGGAAGUUAUUUUUCAAUAUUAUCUUCUAGACUUUUAUUGUUUUACAUUUUAUAUUUUUAUCUAUAAUCCAUGUAGAAAGAUUUUUGUGUAUAGUGUGAGGUUGGGUCAAGAGCCAUUUUUAAAAAAGUUGGAUAUCCAAUUGAUGCAGUGUCAUUUACUAAAAAGAUCAUCCUUUUCCACUUCAGAGCAAUUUUACUUUUGUCAUAAAAUCAAGAGGUUGUAUGUGUGUGUUAUUGUUUCUGCACUCUAUAUUAUUCCAUUGGUCUACUUGUCUACACUUAUACCAAUUUCAUACUGCCUGUAAUUAUGUAACCUCAUAAUAAAUCCUAACAUCAUAUAAUGUAAAUUCUCUGACUUCAUUUUUCUGUGUUUUGCCUAUUGUUGGUCUUUUAUAUUUCCAUAUUAAUAUUAGAAUCACUUUGUCUAAUCUAUCACCAUCACCAACAAAUAAAUAAAAAAUAUCUUCUGAGAUGUUGAUAGGAAUUGCAGUGAAUCAAUAUAUCAGUUUGGGAGAAAUGAAAUCUUUGCCACAUUGCAUCUUCCUAUUCAUGAAUAAGGUAUACCCCACAUUUAUGCAUCUUCCUUUAAUAACAUUUGUGGCUUUUUUGUAUAGUGGUGCUCUUUUGUCAGUUCUAUUCCUAUGACUUUAAUGUUUUUCACUCCUACUGUCAAUGAUAUGUUUAGUUUUCUUAUUGUUUAGUAUUGUUAUAUGGAAAUACAACUGAUUACUUUGAUAUUAACCUUGUUAUUUAGUAAAAUUGCUAAAGUUACUUUUUAAUUAUAGCAGUCUAUCUAGUUAUUUUGAAUUUUAAACAUACAGAAUUAUGUUACCAGAAAAUAAGGAUCAUUUUAUUGUUUUCCUUCCAAUCAUCUUACUUUUUCUUGCACCUCCCCUUAAUAGCAGUAGUGAUAGAAGGGUAGAGUAGUGAUAGAAGGUGUCUCAUACCUGUUUCCAGGGAAAAAGCUUCCAAAAUUUCAUUACUAAGUAUGGUGUUUAGGCUGGCUCCCUGGCUCACACCUGUAAUCCCAGCACUUUGGGAGGAUCACUUGUGGCCAGGAGUUAGAACAGCCUGACCAACAUGGUGAAACUCCAUCUCUACUAAAAAUACAAAAAUUAGCCAAGCAUGGUGGUGCAUGGCUAUAGUCCCAGGUACUCAGGAGGCUAAAGCAUGAAAAUCACUUGACUAGGGGAGGCAGAGGUUGCAGUGAGCCAAGAUCUUGGCACUACAUUCCAGACUGUGUGAUGGAGUGAGACUCU